rnacentral:sRNA from 1 species
GCAAAGACAAAGGAAGAAGUAGAGGCUGCCAAAGCUGCUGCCUUGCUAGCCAAACAGGCAGAAAUGGAAGUCAAGAGGGAAUCUUAUGCAAGAGAAAGAAGCACUGUUGCAAGAAUUCAAUUCCGUCUUCCUGAUGGUUCUUCCUUUACAAAUCAGUUCCCUUCUGAUGCUCCUCUAGAAGAGGCAAGGCAGUUUGCUGCACAGACUGUUGGCAACACUUACGGUAAUUUUUCGUUAGCAACCAUGUUUCCCAGGAGGGAAUUUACCAAAGAAGAUUAUAAAAAGAAGUUACUGGAUUUGGAACUUGCCCCAAGCGCUUCGGUGGUACUGUUGCCAGUUUGUUUAUUAAUUUCUAGGCAGGAAGACCAACUGCAUCCAUUGUACACUCUUCCAGC